GCCGCCAUGGUGAAAUUGGUAGACACGCUGCUCUUAGGAAGCAGUGCGAGAGCGUCUCGGUUCGAAUCCGAGUGGCGGCA
rnacentral:tRNA from 1 species